rnacentral:rRNA from 1 species
GAUGAACGCUAGCGGCAGGCCUAACACAUGCAAGUCGAGGGGCAGCACGUCUUCGGAUGGUGGCGACCGGCGCACGGGUGCGUAACGCGUAUGCAACCUACCUCUUACAGUGGGAUAGCCCAGAGAAAUUUGGAUUAAUACCGCAUAGUAUACAGAUUCAGCAUUGGGACUGUAUUAAACAUUUAUGGGUAAGAGAUGGGCAUGCGUUCUAUUAGUUAGUUGGAGUGGUAACGGCACCCCAAGACAGCGAUAGAUAGGGCCCUGAGAGGGGGAUCCCCCACACUGGUACUGAGACACGGACCAGACUCCUACGGGAGGCAGCAGUGAGGAAUAUUGGACAAUGGGCGAGAGCCUGAUCCAGCCAUGCCGCGUGCAGGAAGACGG